AACGAACGCUGGCGGCAGGCUUAACACAUGCAAGUCGAGCGCCCCGCAAGGGGAGCGGCAGACGGGUGAGUAACGCGUGGGAAUCUACCCAUCUCUACGGUAUAACGCAUGGACACGUGUGCUAAUAACGUAUACGUCCUUCGGGAGAAAGAUUUAUCGGAGAUGGAUGAGCCCGCGUUGGAUUAGCUAGUUGGUGGGGUAAAGGCCUACCCAGGCGACGAUACAUAGCUGGUCUGAGAGGAUGAUCAGCCACACUGGGACUGAGACACGGCCCAGACUCCUACGGGAGGCAGCAGUGGGAAAUAUUGGACAAUGAGCGCAAGCCUGGUCCAGCUAGGCCGCGUAAGUGAUGAAGGCCCUAGAGUUGUAAAGCUCUUUCAAAGGUGAAGAUAAUGACGGUAACCGGAGAAGAAGCCACGGCUAACUUCGUGCCAGCCGCCGCGGUAAGAC
rnacentral:rRNA from 1 species